rnacentral:rRNA from 1 species
GACGAACGCUGGCGGCGUGCCUAAUACAUGCAAGUCGAACGAAGCUGUUUUAACUGGUGCUUGCACCGACUUAAACAACUGAGUGGCGAACGGGUGAGUAACACGUGGGUAACCUGCCCCAAAGCGGGGGAUAACAUUUGGAAACAGAUGCUAAUACCGCAUAACCACAGAAACCACAUGGUUUCUGUGUCAAAGAUGGUUUCGGCUAUCACUUUGGGAUGGACCCGCGGCGUAUUAGCUAGUUGGUAAGGUAAUGGCUUACCAAGGCAAUGAUACGAAGCCGAACUGAGAGGUUGAUCGGCCACAUUGGGACUGGGAAACGGCCCAAACGCCUACGGGAGGCAGCAGUAGGGAAUCUUCCACAAUGGACGAAAGUCUGAUGGAGCAACGCCGCGUGAGUGAAGAAGGUUUUCGGAUCGUAAAACUCUGUUGUCAGAGAAGAACGUGUGCGAGAGUAACUGUUCGUGCAGUGACGGUAUCUGGCCAGAAAGCCACGGCUGACUACGUGCCAGCAGCCGCCGUAA